AAAAAAAAAACCACGCCGAAAAGAAAAUCCACCCCAAAAAGGAAAACCCUAGGCUCGCACCGCGCGCCGCCAUUUCUCCCCCUUCCACCGCGCACCGCCUCCUCCGCCAAAUCCACCGCCGCGGCGCGCGGCCUCCUCCUCCGCCGCGGCGUGCCGCCACCUCGCUCCUCUCUCCCCAUCCACCGCGCUGCCGGAGUCGACCUCGCGCCCGCCCAGGUGGUGGUGUGUGCCGGGUAGAGGAGGAGGAGGAAGCGAGGGCGUCGGACUUGUGCGUGCGCAGGUCCAGGGGCAGGACGACAUUCGACGCGGUCGCCGACGAGUUUUUCCCCUUUUGCCUUUGAUUUCUUCGGCCCUUUCCUUUCAAGUUUUGAUACAAAGAAUUCAGAAACUCAUACUAUAUGAUGGACAACUCAGGGACAGAUGGAGUAGUAGUUGGAGGUCCAAUAUUAUAGCCUAGGACACGAACAAAUGCAGAAAAUGGAGGUGUUGAUGCUAAUGAUCCUCGAAAUAUGCCCUUAGCUGGUGAAGAAAAUGUUCCAGGUGUUAAUAAUGUACAGCUACAAAAGAAGGUACACAAGAAGACAGCAAAGACUAACCAGCGAGCAGGCAACCAUAAAAAGGGCUAGCAGAGGUGCUGUAAAAAAAAUCAAGAACCUACAAGAACCAUAAAAGAGAUGAUUUGUUUUGUUUUUGGGACCUCAAUACACCUACAAGAACCUUAGUUACAUCUAAAUUAUGUAAUUAUUGCUAUGUACUUGAACUCUUAUGUAAUAGCUAUUUGAGCUGAUGGAUAACUGCUAUAUAGGAAUACUGCUACUUGAUGGGUGAACAAUAGUUACAUGAUGAUAUGUCAGAAUGCAUUUGUGAACAAUAGUUAUGAAUAGUUGAAUAUUGUGUUAUGCAUGUGUGUAACUUACUGAAAGGUGAUAAUCCGUGUUGCAAAAUUUGGAGUGA